rnacentral:lncRNA from 1 species
CCCCCUUGACCGGUGUCACCUCGUUCAACUACUCUGAAAUUCUCAGACGGAACGCGCUCACCGGUUGUUUCCAUUAUUAAAUCCCUGUUGUUGAAGGAAUUCUCCCUCGAGCCCCCUUUGAGGUGGUGGGAACCCUCAGUGACAGUUCGACAGUCGGAGAAUUCGUAGGCCACUAUUUUCCCCCUCCUACUCCUCUUGAUCCGUGGCA